ensembl:lncRNA
UGGGUGACAUCACAGAGGGGUGGACUGUGAGGCUGCACACACAGCUGCUCAGGACAGGACCAGAACAGCCACUUCCUGCAAGGGACGGCCAGGUGUGGGCAGUGCUGGCCGCUGUCUCCUCACUGCAUUGUUACCCCAAUGUUAGCACCGGCCACACUCUGCCCAGCGCUCACUUGCACUGCCUGUGCUUCACAAACACCUGAGGCCAGUGCGGGCAGGGUGUAAACACCCACUUAGCCAACAGAAGAGAUGCCGGGCCACUUGGUGAAUCACGGCCACUUUAAAUGUGUAGGUGUCCGCACCCGAGGCUUCAGGGCCAAGGGAAUAAUACUCUGGAUUCUCCAGGCAGUGGAGGCUCUCACUGUGCUACCUGCUGGCCGGGGACACUGGUAGAGCUAAAAGACAUCCUUUGCUCAAGGAUCAGAUGUGCCGGGAGGAGUGGACACUCUGGUGUUCUCUGGCCGACACUUACACCCCGGACGACGAGGAAAUGAACUUCAAUUGAUUUUAACUGAAAAGUUCUCGUAAUUGUGUAUGCUUAUAUAGGCCCUUUGCAUUUUUAAAUCUCCUUUUAGUCUACAGAACCACAAGUCAGGGCAGUUAUCACAUAACAUACACAUUGUCACUGUACAUACA